AACGAACGCUGGCGGCAGGCUUAACACAUGCAAGUCGAACGCACCUUUCGGGGUGAGUGGCAGACGGGUGAGUAACGCGUGGGAAUCUACCCUUCUCUACGGGAUAGCUCCGGGAAACUGGAAUUAAUACCGUAUACGUCCUGAGGGAGAAAGAUUUAUCGGGGAAGGAUGAGCCCGCGUUGGAUUAGCUAGUUGGUGGGGUAAAGGCCUACCAAGGCGACGAUCCAUAGCUGGUCUAAGAGGAUGAUCAGCCACAUUGGGACUGAGACACGGCCCAAACUCCUACGGGAGGCAGCAGUGGGGAAUAUUGGACAAUGGGCGAAAGCCUGAUCCAGCCAUGCCGCGUGAGUGAUGAAGGCCCUAGGGUUGUAAAGCUCGUUCAGUGGGGACGAUAAUGACGGUACCCACAGAAGAAGCCCCGGCUAACUUCGUGCCAGCAGCCGCCGUAAUAC
rnacentral:rRNA from 1 species